GUCUAUCGGCUGAAAGGGCAGGAGAUUUAGCCGCUUCUGAAGACAAAGCAGGAGGAUUCAUGGCUGUUUGCCAAAGCUCCUGAGCCAAUAUGUCCAGUAAAAUUAAGUGGUGGAGCUUACUGAAUUCAUGCAGCGACAGCUGAUCCUAGUACCAGCCUGUGUAGCCAGCAUCAAAAAUGCAUGAAGAUUUCGAACGGGGCAAGUUCCAGAACAGAACCUGCAAAAAUGCCGCUUUCACAAGAUUACUAUGAGUAUGGAUGAUUUUGAAAAACUGAGUAUAUGUAAUAGUUCAUGUAAAUGCAAUUGCUUCCCCUUGCUUCAGCCUUUCCAGUACCCCAAGACAAAGCAGCAGCUCACAGACGGAGUAGAGCCCACAGAUAUGUGGCUCCCAUCCAUUUGCUCUUUCUCU